ACUAUUAGUGAGCCUUGAAAGCAAAGUGACUUGCUGUCAGCAUUUGAAAAAAUAAAAUAAAGGGCUCCCAAACGCUUCAGAAGACAGAAACGGAAGAGGGAGGGAACAACCAUAAUAAUGCCUCUCACAGAAUAUAACAGGUCAUCAAGGCGACUCUGCCAUCAGCAGCACC